GAUGAACGCUGGCGGCGUGCUUAACACAUGCAAGUCGAACGGGAAACUUUUCAUUGAAGCUUCGGCAGAUUUGGUCUGUUUCUAGUGGCGGACGGGUGAGUAACGCGUGGGUAACCUGCCUUAUACAGGGGGAUAACAACCAGAAAUGGUUGCUAAUACCGCAUAAGCGCGCAGGAUCGCAUGGUCCGGUGUGAAAAACUCCGGUGGUAUAAGAUGUGACCCGCGUUGGAUUAGCUAGUUGGCAGGGUAACGGCCUACAAAGGCAACGAUCCACAGCCGGCCUGAGAGGGUGAACGGCCACAUUGGGACUGAGACACGGCCCAGACUCCUACGGGAGGCAGCAGUGGGGAAUAUUGCACAAUGGGGGAAACCCUGAUGCAGCGACGCCGCGUGAAGGAAGAAGUAUCUCGGUAUGUAAACUUCUAUCAGCAGGGAAGAUAGUGACGGUACCUGACUAAGAAGCCCCGGCUAACUACGUGCCAGCAGCCGCCGUAA
rnacentral:rRNA from 1 species